AUCAAUAAGGCAAAUCAACCAGGGGCUGAAACUGUGAUCCAAAAUGAACUUUUCCUCCUUUAAGUUGUUUAUCUCAGGAUUUUGUCACAUCAAUGGAAACCUGACUAACACCCAAUAUGGUGCGUCUUUCGAGAGAAGGAGGAGCACAGGAAGAGCUGAGAUCAGAGUGAAAGUGUGCCCUAUUCGGAGAAGCUCCUCAGAAAGACACUAUGGGGAAAGGGAGGCAGUCAUACAUGGAGUAAUGGAGAUCUGAUUUGAACUUUAUCAGGAAAGAAGGAAGGAAAAGGGAGAAGGAAGACAGACCCCGCAGGGCUGUGGAGCAUGGACUGGGCYGCAGUGAGGAGACCAGAACUCUCUGGAAGACAUUUGGGAAACGACUAAGGCAAGGUGGAUUCCAUCAUGUCAUCUGCAAAUACUAAAGAUCUCCCUAAGUUACUGAAGACCUCGCUAAAUAGCUGAG